rnacentral:rRNA from 1 species
UACGGGGGGAGCAAGCGUUGUUCGGAUUUACUGGGCGUAAAGGGCGCGUAGGCGGCGCAACAAGUCACUUGUGAAAUCUCCGGGCUUAACCCGGAGCGGCCAAGUGAUACUGUCGUGCUAGAGUGCGGAAGGGGCUACUGGAAUUCUCGGUGUAGCGGUGAAAUGCGUAGAUAUCAGGAGGAACACCGGUGGCGAAGGCGGUUCUCUGGGCAUUACCUGACGCUGAGGAGCGAAAGUGUGGGGAGCGAACAGG